rnacentral:lncRNA from 1 species
GGUGUGCAAGAGGACACUUGUGCAAGGACGUUUGGGGGUGUGCAAGGCGAGUCACUUUUUCAAGGGGUGUGUAAAGGCAGAGGUGUGCAAGAAGACACUUGUGCAAGGACAUUUAAGGUGUGCAAGGCAAGUCACUUUUACAAGGGGUGUGUAAAGGCAGAGGUGUGCAAGAAGACACUUGUGCAAGGACGUUUGGGGGUGUG